AGAGUUUGAUCAUGGCUCAGAUUGAACGCUGGCGGCAGGCCUAACACAUGCAAGUCGAACGGUAACAGGAAGCAGCUUGCUGCUUUGCUGACGAGUGGCGGACGGGUGAGUAAUGUCUGGGAAACUGCCUGAUGGAGGGGGAUAACUACUGGAAACGGUAGCUAAUACCGCAUAACGUCGCAAGACCAAAGAGGGGGACCUUCGGGCCUCUUGCCAUCGGAUGUGCCCAGAUGGGAUUAGCUAGUAGGUGGGGUAAAGGCUCACCUAGGCGACGAUCCCUAGCUGGUCUGAGAGGAUGACCAGCCACACUGGAACUGAGACACGGUCCAGACUCCUACGGGAGGCAGCAGUGGGGAAUAUUGCACAAUGGGCGCAAGCCUGAUGCAGCCAUGCCGCGUGUAUGAAGAAGGCCUUCGGGUUGUAAAGUACUUUCAGCGGGGAGGAAGGGAGUAAAGUUAAUACCUUUGCUCAUUGACGUUACCCGCAGAAGAAGCACCGGCUAACUCCGUGCCAGCAGCCGCGGUAAUACGGAGGGUGCAAGCGUUAAUCGGAAUUACUGGGCGUAAAGCGCACGCAGGCGGUUUGUUAAGUCAGAUGUGAAAUCCCCGGGCUCAACCUGGGAACUGCAUCUGAUACUGGCAAGCUUGAGUCUCGUAGAGGGGGGUAGAAUUCCAGGUGUAGCGGUGAAAUGCGUAGAGAUCUGGAGGAAUACCGGUGGCGAAGGCGGCCCCCUGGACGAAGACUGACGCUCAGGUGCGAAAGCGUGGGGAGCAAACAGGACUAGAUACCCUGGUAGUCCA
rnacentral:rRNA from 1 species